GACGAACGCUGGCGGCGCGCCUAACACAUGCAAGUCGAGCGAGAACCAGGGCUUCGGCCCUGGGGAAAGCGGCGAACGGGUGAGUAACACGUGGGUAACCUGCCCUCGGCACCGGGAUAGCCCGGGGAAACCCGGAUUAAUACCGGACAAGCUCACGAGGUCUUCGGGCCGCGAGAGAAAAGGUGGACUCUGUAUACAAGCUACUGCUUUCGGAUGAGCCCGCGGCCCCUCAGCCUGUUGGCGGGGUAAUGGCCCACCAAGGCUACGACGGGUAGCUGGUCUGAGAGGACGAUCAGCCACACUGGAACUGAGACACGGUCCAGACCCCUACGGGAGGCAGCAGUGGGGAAUUUUGCGCAAUGGGCGAAAGCCUGACGCAGCAACGCCGCGUGUGUGAUGAAGGUCUUCGGAUCGUAAAGCACUUUCGACCGGGACGAAAACCUGUUGGCUAACAUCCAGCAGCUUGACGGUACCGGGAGAAGAAGCACCGGCUAACUCUGUGCCAGCAGCCGCGGUAAGAC
rnacentral:rRNA from 1 species